GGUGGCCUAGUGGCUAUGGUUAUAGCGUCCGCCUCGAAAGCAAGAGGUCGCCGGUUCGAUCCCCGGCCGAGUCA